CCCCGGGUUCCCGGGCAAGGGCGGCGGACGAGCGAGCGCAACCCCGGGGUCGCCCAGGAGGAGGGAGUGCGGCGGAGGAGUCAGCGCAGCCUGGGGGACGCCCGGGAGGAGGGGGCGCGGCGGGCUUGGUCCCCGCCCCUGCGCGGCGCUUAGUCCCUACCGCUCGGCGCGCGGCUGCAGCCUGGGCUGGACGCUCGCUCCGCAGCCUCCGCCCUGCGCCCCGCUUCCCGCACCCCUUACCGCUCACUCGGCACUCCGCACCGCGCACCUCGCACCGAGCACCCCGCAUCCCCACGGCCGGGCAUGUAGCAGCUGCAGCAGCGGCAGGAGCCGCGGCGGAAUAUGGGCGGGAACCACUCCCACAAGCCCGCCGUGUUUGAUGAGAACGAGGAAGUCAACUUUGACCAUUUUCAGAUUCUACGGGCCAUUGGUAAAGGGAGUUUUGGAAAGGUAUGCAUCGUGCAGAAGCGAGACACGAAGAAAAUGUACGCCAUGAAGUACAUGAACAAGCAGAAGUGCAUCGAGAGGGAUGAAGUUCGGAACGUGUUCCGGGAACUUCAGAUCAUGCAGGGCCUGGAGCAUCCUUUCCUGGUCAAUCUGUGGUACUCCUUCCAGGACGAGGAGGACAUGUUCAUGGUGGUGGACCUGCUGCUGGGAGGGGACCUGCGCUACCACCUGCAGCACAACGUCCACUUCACGGAGGGCGCUGUGAAGCUGUACAUCUGCGAGCUGGCCCUGGCGCUGGAAUACCUGCAGAGGUGCCACAUCAUCCACAGAGACAUCAAGCCAGACAACAUACUGCUGGAUGAGCACGGACAUGUUCACAUCACAGACUUCAACAUCGCGACUGUCGUGAAAGGAGCCGAAAAGGCUUCCUCCAUGGCGGGGACCAAGCCCUACAUGGCCCCGGAAGUGUUCCAGGUGUACGUGGAUGGAGGCCCCGGCUACUCAUACCCUGUUGACUGGUGGUCCCUGGGCAUCACGGCCUACGAGCUGCUGCGGGGCUGGAGGCCGUAUGAAAUCCACUCCGCCAUGCCCAUCGAUGAGAUCCUCAGCAUGUUCAAAGCGGAGCGUGUCCACUACUCCUCCACAUGGUGCAAGGGUAUGGUCGCCCUGCUGAAGAAGCUCCUGACCAAGGACCCCGAGAGCCGCCUGUCCAGCCUCGGUGAUGUUCAGAAUGCACCCUACUUGGCCGACAUGAACUGGGAUGCGGUGUUCGAGAAGGCACUGCUGCCCGGCUUUGUGCCCAAUAAAGGGAGAUUGAAUUGUGAUCCCACAUUUGAACUGGAAGAAAUGAUUCUUGAAUCCAAGCCACUUCACAAGAAGAAGAAGAGGUUGGCGAAGAACAGGUCCCGAGACGGCACGAAGGACAGCUGUCCUCUGAAUGGACACCUGCAGCAGUGUUUGGAAACGGUGCGGAAGGAAUUCAUAGUGUUCAACAGAGAAAAGCUGAGGAGACAGCAGGGGCAGAGCGGCCAGCUCCUGGACACCGAGGGCCACGCUGGCAGUCAGGCUCAGGGCAAACUCCAGGACGGGCGCAACAACAACGUCCUGGUCCACGCCUGCUCCCGAGGCUGCAGCAGCUAAGGCCGCACCGCGGGCCUGUGGCUGCCCCCGCGGGACGGCGCACACCUUUGCCCACCCACCAGAGCCCCUCUCUGCCACGACGGUCCCUGUCUCACCCCGACAACAUCAGAUGCGGAAAGAGCCCUGGGCUCGGAGCUGGGGAGCCUGGGUGCUGGUCCCAGCUGCCAGAAUGAUUCCCUGUGUCACCUUGGACAAACCAUGCCCUUCCUGUGCCUCAGUUUUCUGCAUCUGCCAAAGGGGUUAAACAGCUCUCUGCCCCACCUCGAAUGGCAAGGUUAUUAGGAGACUCCAAGAACCUUGCCAAACCUUUGACAUUUAUAAACUAGUUUACAUGUGCAAAAUAUAACCUUGUUGUUGGACGUGCACUCCCACCCCCCGAAGCACACUGCAGCUUUGCCACUUGGUCCACCCUGGCUCGGUAGGCAGUGGUCUCGAAAAUGGAGCUCAAAGGCAAAAUAAACAUCUGAUGUGUUUGCCCUUCCCAUGGAAACACCGUUCCCCAAUCCUGGAGCAAAACCGGAAGUGUCUUCAUUUGCAUUCUCUGCCAGGAAAUCACCGGGCUGCUUCUCUCUUCACUAUGACCCUGGCAGCACUUAGGAGUUUCUCAGUGGGCGAGCUUCAUGAAUUAGGGGGCAGGACCUGGAAGCAGCCCUCGAGACGCUGGAUUUCCUGACUCUGUUCAAGUUGGUGUUGUUCCUUGUU